GGAAUAGCAAAGCUGACGUGUGUGAUCCUGGGCGCUCUGACUGUUGUCCUUGUGAUGGUCAUCAUUGGUCUGGUUGUGAAAAACAGGAAACUUCAGACAGCUGCCAGGGACGGACAGAAUCAACAACAGCAUGAGACUCUGGGCUCUGAUGGCCAGAAAGACGCAGCACUGGCUUUGCACUUGCCAACAGUGAGGAACAGGAGCCCUGCAUCACAGAGAGAAGUGGAGACUCAUGUUAUUUAUGCUGCCCGCAGAUAGACUCAGAGAGGAACUGAUGCUUUUGUCACAUUA